rnacentral:rRNA from 1 species
AUUGAACGCUGGCGGCAUGCCUAACACAUGCAAGUCGAACGGCAGCAUAGUAUGUACUUGUACAUAUGGGUGGCGAGUGGCGAACGGGUGAGUAAUGCGCAGGAAUAUACCUUAAAGAGGGGGAUAACUUGGGGAAACACAAGCUAAUACCGCAUGUACUCUAAGGAGUGAAGCUGGGGACCUUCGGGCCUGGCGCUUUAAGAAUAGCCUGCGUCCGAUUAGCUAGUUGGUGGGGUAAAGGCCUACCAAGGCGACGAUCGGUAGCUGGUCUGAGAGGAUGGACAGCCACACUGGGACUGAGACACGGCCCAGACUCCUACGGGAGGCAGCAGUGGGGAAUAUUGGACAAUGGGGGCAACCCUGAUCCAGCAAUGCCGCGUGUGUGAAGAAGGCCUUAUGGUUGUAAAGCACUUUAAGCGAGGAGGAGGCUCUUUUGGUUAAUACCCAAGAUGAGUGGACGUUACUCGCAGAAUAAGCACCGGCUAACUCUGUGCCAGCCGCCGCCGUAA